AUAUAUUUCUUUAACGGUGGGCGAAUGGAUGAAAGCAAAUUAAACACAAAUGAUUAAUCUCAUCCAGAAGCUCCAGGUAUUUUGAAAAUGUUUAGACGACAUUUUGAAGAUGGGGUGGUGUUCCAUCUUUUAGCCUGUGACUCACUCUUCCAAUGGCUAGUGCAGCCUUCCCUUUCUUGGAAAAAUGCACAUUCCUCCAGUGUGUCUGAGUCCCUUGAGUCUUUCACAUGUGCUCAUGUACAAGAACAUGCAGCUACUACAGAGGGUUGUAAUUGUCCUCCAUUGUCUGCUUAAAUCAUCCUUCUUGGGAUCCUAUUUGAUUUGCAAGACAUCACUGCCAUUUUCCUGUUGCAUUAUUAUUACUGAGACUCUAUUAAAUCAGGGGUUGUGUGUGUCUGUUUGCCAAAUUCCUCAACAUAGGGCUGUUCUAAUGUGAAAGGUAGACCAGUAGAAGUUUGACCUCUAUGGACGUCCUUGAAGAAGCAGUUGCUAGAUACUUAGUCAUGGUAUGGAUAUCCUCCAGCAGAGAGGAGGAAACCAAAGCCACUACAAUGUCUCAGGGAGUGUCCCAUCUUAAGGCCCCUCAAGUAGGCAGGAGUUGAAAUAUUUGAGUCAAAGCAGAGGAAUCAUGUAUUAGUGUGAAGAGUGAGCUUUGUGGCAGGUCACUGAGUAGCACCAUUUGACAUUUUCUCAGAACCAGCUCGAAAGAAUUGAAGUUUGUUGGGAAUUAGGGGAGAGUGCUGUUAGCAAAUAGAAAGGAACUAUCUCAGCACAUGCUACUGCAUUUCAAUGUUCUGCUUAUAACAUUCCUGGCCUUCCUAGUGUCUUAGAUGGGAAGCCGUGCUCCUUACCAAAGCCUCAAAGGUCCUAGUGAUGUGGCCCUGUCUGAUUCUCCACACAUCUCAUCUCUCACUAAGCUCUCCAGCUCACUGGCCUCCACUCAGUUCCUUGAACACACCAAGAUAAGUCUGGCUUAAGGGUCCUGCCUGUUAUUGUUGUUUCUGCCUAGAACACGCAUCUUCAGAGCUUCAGUGGUUGGCUCUUUUAGGUCUCAGUUCGAAUAUCACCUCUUCAAUGAGACCUUUCAGUGUUUUUUUCGUUACAUCACCAUGCUCAUGCUUUUUAUUUAUUUUUAUUUUUAUGUAUUAAUGGAGGUACUAGGGACUGAACCCAGGACCUCGUGCUUGCUAAGCACACGCUGUAUCACCGAGCUCUACCCUCUCCCAGUGAUCUUGUUU